CUGGGCGUAAGCGAGUGUAGGUGGCUCAUUAAGUCACAUGUGAAAUCCCCGGGCUUAACCUGGGAACUGCAUGUGAUACUGGUGGUGCUAGAAUAUGUGAGAGGGAAGUAGAAUUCCAGGUGUAGCGGUGAAAUGCGUAGAGAUCUGGAGGAAUACCGAUGGCGAAGGCAGCUUCCUGGCAUAAUAUUGACACUGAGAUUCGAAAGCGUGGGUAGCAAACAGGAUUAGAUACCCUGGUAGUCCACGCCGUAAACGAUGUCUACUAGCCGUUGGGGUCCUUGAGACUUUAGUGGCGCAGUUAACGCGAUAAGUAGACCGCCUGGGGAGUACGGCCGCAAGGUUAAAACUCAAAUGAAUUGACGGGGGCCCGCACAAGCGGUGGAGCAUGUGGUUUAAUUCGAUGCAACGCGAAGAACCUUACCUGGUCUUGACAUAGUGAGAAUCCUGCAGAGAUGCGGGAGUGCCUUCGGGAAUUCACAUACAGGUGCUGCAUGGCUGUCGUCAGCUCGUGUCGUGAGAUGUUGGGUUAAGUCCCGCAACGAGCGCAACCCUUUUCCUUAUUUGCCAGCGGGUUAAGCCGGGAACUUUAAGGAUACUGCCAGUGACAAACUGGAGGAAGGCGGGGACGA
rnacentral:rRNA from 1 species